UCAGACGAUGCGUCAUGCAUAUCAAUAAGCGGAGGAAAAGAAACUAACAAGGAUUUCCCUAGUAACGGCGAGUGAAGCGGGAAGAGCUCAAAUUUGAAAUCUUAAAGGGUUUCCCUUUACGAAUUGUAGUUUAAAGAAGUGUUUUCUGUUGAGGUUUUGGUAAAAGUUCUUUGGAAUAGGACAUCAUAGAGGGUGAGAAUCCCGUAUUUGACCUUUACUUUCAACUUUGUGAUACACUUUCAAAGAGUCGGAUUGUUUGGGAAUGCAGUCCAAAAUGGGUGGUAAAUUUCAUCUAAAGCUAAAUAUUGGCGAGAGACCGAUAGCGAACAAGUACCGUGAGGGAAAGAUGAAAAGAACUUUGAAAAGAGAGUUAAACAGUACGUGAAAUUGUCAAAAGGGAAGCGUUUGACACCAUGUGUUGUUUUUCUGAAAAUCAAUUAAAGAACUGUUUAUGCUAAGUUGUUUAGACUUUAUCAGCUAACUGUUUAGUUUUGAGCUUUUCUUUAAUGCACUUUUCAGUUAACAAGUCAACAUCAAUUUCUUUUGCUGUAAAAAAGCUUGAGGAAGGUGGCUUGAGAUUCGUCUUAAGUGUUUAUAGCCUCUUGCCUAUGCAGUCGGAGAGAUUGAGGUCUGCAGCGUAGAUCCUUCGGGGCUAAAUGCAUUUGUGCUAAGUUAUAGCAUUUUAUAGACAACUUGUUGACUAUGAUUUGUCUUGUAGCUUACUCGCUUAUGUUAUUUUACCUACGCUUAGGAUGUUGAAUCUGUGCGAGACUAC
rnacentral:rRNA from 1 species